GUGGCGAACGGGUGAGUACACGUGGGUGAUCUGCCCCAGACUUCGGGAUAAGCCUGGGAAACUGGGUCUAAUACCGGAUAUGACCUGCUCCUGCAUGGGGGUUGGUGGAAAAGCUUUUGCGGUUUGGGAUGGGCCCGCGGCCUAUCAGCUUGUUGGUGGGGGUAAUGGGCCUACCAAGGCGACGACGGGUAGCCGACCUGAGAGGGUGAUCGGCCACACUGGGACUGAGACACGGCCCAGACUCCUACGGGAGGCAGCAGUGGGGAAUAUGCACAAUGGGCGCAAGCCUGAUGCAGCGACGCCGCGUGAGGGAUGACGGCCUUCGGGUUGUAAACCUCUUUCGCCAGGGGCGAAGCGCAAGUGACGGUACCUGGAGAAGAAGCACCGGCCAACUACGUG
rnacentral:rRNA from 1 species